rnacentral:rRNA from 1 species
AGAAAUCUAGAUCAUAGACCGAGUGCGGCAGAUCUGCUAAACCAUCCGCAACUUCAACCCUAUGGCUUGAAAAUCCAAUCGAAAUCAAGUCCUACUCGCAGUAUGUUCCCAGCUAUACUUCUUACCAAACAUGAAGCACAUAAGACUGCAUCUUCUGAUGAUGAAGACAAUUGCAAACCCCAAUACAUUAGCAGCCAUUCAUUUAAAUAACAGAGGAUUUUGGAAUUUGACAAUGCCACUGCUAACCAUGGCGGUUCUCAGUCUACCAAAAUAGCAAAAGAUUGUCCAGAACUGUUUCAUCAACAGAUGGGUCAGUUAUCAGUCCAGGUCAUGAAGGAAGUUUUCAAAGAAGUGAUACAUGACAAAUAUUCAAAAGCAACAAGAUCACCGGCACCUACUCCACGAAGGGCGUCCUCGACUCCUAGUAGACGCCUAGAACUUGCAAGAACAUUCCAUGCUAGAACAGCUCAUAAAGAGGAGCCUCCCACAUCAAGGGCUUCAGUGGACCAGACAAGACAAGCUACGCGGUGAGCAUCACUUUCCCCAUGCAUGUUCAAUGCUCAUGAGAAGAGGCGAGUCGCCGACAUUCUUGCCAGAUUGAAGUCUCCUGAUAUUUCAGCUAAGGCACCUCGAACCGACAGAAUUGCUGAAUUCCCACUGGCGUCCUCUAAAGAUCCAUUAUGUCCCAUCAUGAAGCUCUCGCCACCAUCUAUCACCGACCAAUCGAUCACCAAGGACAAAUGCAUUUUUCAGGUGCUCCAGAGCGACAGCGAAAGCCACACAAACACUCCUGAACCGAAACUGCUCAGUAUCGACAAUAAUUCACUUGGAAAGUCAUGCAAUUAAAGGCAUAAGAGGUUCGACACGACAUCAUACAGGCAGAGAGCUGAAGCUCUGGAGGGCUUGCUUGAGUUUAGUGCCCGGUUGCUCCAACAUGAGAGAUUUCAGGAGCCGGAGGUCUUGCUAAAGCCUUUUGGGCCCGGGAAGGCGUCUCCUAAGGAAAACAAACGGGAUUAUAAGGAGAGGCCUCCAAAGGAAAACAUGAGCCCACACUAA